GACGAAGGUGGCGAGCGUUGUUCGGAAUCACUGGGCAUAAAGCGCACGUAGGCGGUGCCGUAAGUCGGAUGUGAAAUCCCUCGGCCUAACCGAGGAACUGCGUCCGAUACUGCGGUGCUUGAGGAUCAGAGGGGUGCAUGGAAUUUCCGGUGGAGCGGUGAAAUGCGUUGAUAUCGGAAGGAACUCCGGCGGCGAAAGCGAUGCACUGGCUGAUUUCUGACGCUGGGGUGCGAAAGCCAGGGGAGCAAACGGG
rnacentral:rRNA from 1 species